GACGAACGCUGGCGGCGCGCCUAACACAUGCAAGUCGAACGAGCGAGAGGAGGUUUACUUUCUCAAGCGAGUGGCGAACGGGUGAGUAACGCGUGAGGAACCUGCCUCAAAGAGGGGGACAACAGUUGGAAACGACUGCUAAUACCGCAUAAGCCCACGACCCGGCAUCGGGUAGAGGGAAAAGGAGCAAUCCGCUUUGAGAUGGCCUCGCGUCCGAUUAGCUAGUUGGUGAGGUAAUGGCCCACCAAGGCGACGAUCGGUAGCCGGACUGAGAGGUUGAACGGCCACAUUGGGACUGAGACACGGCCCAGACUCCUACGGGAGGCAGCAGUGGGGAAUAUUGCACAAUGGGGGAAACCCUGAUGCAGCGACGCCGCGUGGAGGAAGAAGGUCUUCGGAUUGUAAACUCCUGUUGUUGAGGAAGAUAAUGACGGUACUCAACAAGGAAGUGACGGCUAACUACGUGCCAGCAGCCGCGGUAAAACGUAGGUCACAAGCGUUGUCCGGAAUUACUGGGUGUAAAGGGAGCGCAGGCGGGAAGACAAGUUGGAAGUGAAAUCCAUGGGCUCAACCCAUGAACCGCUUUCAAAACUGUUUUUCUUGAGUAGCGCAGAGGUAGGCGGAAUUCCCGGUGUAGCGGUGGAAUGCGUAGAUAUCGGGAGGAACACCAGUGGCGAAGGCGGCCUACUGGGCACCAACUGACGCUGAGGCUCGAAAGUGUGGGUAGCAAACAGGAUUAGAUACCCUGGUAGUCCACACUGUAAACGAUGAUUAAGGGGUGUUGGAGGAUUGACCCCCUCAGUGCCGCAGUUAACACAAUAAGUAAUCCACCCGGGGAGUACGACCGCAAAGGUUGAAACUCAAAGGAAUUGACGGGGGCCCGCACAAGCAGUGGAGUAUGUGGUUUAAUUCGACGCAACGCGAAGAACCUUACCAAGUCUUGACAUCCUGCGACGGUGCUGGAAACAGUACUUUCCUUCGGGACGCAGAGACAGGUGGUGCAUGGUUGUCGUCAGCUCGUGUCGUGAGAUGUUGGGUUAAGUCCCGCAACGAGCGCAACCCUUAUGGUCAGUUACUACGCAAGAGGACUCUGGCCAGACUGCCGUUGACAAAACGGAGGAAGGUGGGGAGGACGUCAAAUCAUCAUGCCCCCUAUGACUUGGGCUACACACGUACUACAAUGGCGUUAAACAAAGAGAAGCAAGACCGCGAGGUGGAGCAAAACUCAGAAACAACGUCCCAGUUCGGACUGCAGGCUGCAACUCGCCUGCACGAAGUCGGAAUUGCUAGUAAUCGCAGAUCAGCAUGCUGCGGUGAAUAAAUUCCCGGGCCUUGCACA
rnacentral:rRNA from 1 species